CGUAUGAGUGCCAUCAGAGAACAUGUUAAAUUCAGGCCAUGCAAUACAUGCAUGGUAAUAACUCUGUGAAAAGAGAGCAAGCAACAUCCUUAGCCCAGGAGAAAAGGAGGCCAACAAAUGCAAUACAACACCACAGCAACAGCACAGAGAAAGGAGGAAAUGCCUUGAUGAAUCAAGGAAGAUGAUGUAGUCUUAUAAUGAAAAUGAGGGAUGGAGACUAGGAGGAGCAACUGAAAAUAUACCACAAUCGGCCGCUAACCUAGAAAUGGAAAAGACCCACCACCUGCCAAAUAACUUUCUGUGUAAAGCGGAUCGACAGCAGCAGCUGUUGUCUUGGAUAACAGCAGUGUCUACCGCCUGACAGGUGACUAUUCCAACCAGGCAUGCCAGUUUCAGAAGAGCUAGCUGGCAGGAAAAAAGGUACGGAGCCAGGGAGGGAUAGCCAGUCCUUCCAGAAUUGCAGGUGACUGACAGCUGAUUUCUGUUAAAGGCUCUACUCCCUGCAGAGCCACAGGCCUGGCUGCUUUCACUGACUUCUCCACCUAUAUUACAAAAUGCAACCUUCCUCAGCAGGAGUUUGAUGGAAAAAAGGGGGGGGGAAGGGUCAGAGCUCCUGCUCCCCUUUGAUGAGCCCCGGCCAGCAAUCUGAACCAGAUGGAACUGUUUGGGAUACAAGCUUACCUUCAGAGCACAUGGAAUGAAGGCAGGUGUGAAAUUGUUAAUAUUUCACCAUCUCUGUUCCUUGAACAGCAGUGGGAGGAAAGGUUUGUUUUAGUGCAAGCUUCAGUACAAGCAGAUUUG